rnacentral:rRNA from 1 species
UAUGUAGGUGGCGAGCGUUGUCCGGAUUUACUGGGCGUAAAGAGCGCGCAGGCGGUCGUGCAAGUCGCGUGUGAAAGCCCCCGGCUCAACUGGGGAGGGUCACGCGAUACUGCUCGACUUGAAGGCAGGAGAGGGAAGUGGAAUUCCCGGUGUAGUGGUGAAAUGCGUAGAUAUCAGGAGGAACACCAAUUGCGAAGGCAGCUCGCUGGGACGUUACUGACGCUGAGACGCGAAAGCGUGGGGAGCAAACAGG